rnacentral:rRNA from 1 species
AUUCCAGCUCCAAUAGCGUAUAUUAAAGUUGUUGCAGUUAAAAAGCUCGUAGUUGGAUUUCUGGACGGAGCAGCCGGUCCGCCGCUGUGCGGUGUGUACUCGUGCUUGACUCGGUUCAUCCUUGUGGGGAAGCGCAUUUCGGCAUUCAGUUGUCGAGGCGGGGAACCACAUCAUUUACUGUGAAAAAAUUAGAGUGUUUAAAGCAGGCAUUUUGCUGUGAAUACAUUAGCAUGGAAUAAUAACAUAGGACUUUGAUUCUAUUUUGUUGGUUGGAGAUCAAGGUAAUGAUUAACAGGGACAGUUGGGGGUACUCAUAUUUACAUGUCAGAGGUGAAAUUCUUGGAUUUUGGCAAGAUGAACUACUGCGAAGGCAUUUACCAAGGAUGUUUUCAUUA